rnacentral:lncRNA from 1 species
CGGAGGACGCCUGACUUGACCUUCGCCACCCGAGCUGGUUGGGGAGUUGCAGCGAUGUGACAAGAUCGAAAUUGGGGAGGAAAAGAGGGGUGAAAUAACAAAUGAAAAAAACACACAUAGGCUAUUGAUUAUAGUGUCUCAACAUGAUUAGCUUUAUGAUGUCUCUAGGGCUGCGUUUACACAUGCAGCCCAAUUCUGAUCUUUUUGACCAAUUACAUCCGAUCUUUUCACACUAGAUAUUUUUCAACACACACACACACACACACACACACACACACACACACACACACACACUGUAGCUCAGUCAGUGAAACUGUGUAAAACACAGAUGUUCUCCCAUAUAUCGUCAUGGCAACUGAAGAGACAACAUGAGCUGGCUGGUAGAGCUGGUCUAAGGUAGGAACCACUGAAGAAGAGACAACGUGAGCUGGCUGGUAGAGCUGGUCUAAGGUAGGAACCACUGAAGAAGAGACAACGUGAGCUGGCUGGUAGAGCUGGUCUAAGGUAGGAACCACUGAAGAAGAGACAAGGUGAGCUGGCUGGUAGAGCUGGUCUAAGGUAGAAACCACUGAAGAAGAGACAAGGUGAGCUGGCUGGUAGAGCUGGUCUAAGGUAGGAACCACUGAAGAAGAGACAACGUGAG